CGGCGCAUGCGCUCGCACUGAUUGCCCGCGAGCUCCGUGGAGUGGAGACGGAUUGGCGACGAGCGUGUGUCCAGGUGUAGCACCCUGGCUACCGUCCUCGCCUGUGGCCACCGCCUUCUUGGACUCCUCUCUUUUGUCCCCAGUUGCAGCUCCCCCCCCCCCCCCCGCGGGAAGCGCUCCUGAGUGCUCCCAACCUCCAUGCUCACUCAAGUAUCCUAGCCCUAGAGAAGACUAGAUGGGAAGAGGAAGGCGACCCGAGAAGGCGUAAGGGGGUUAAUGGGAGUGGCAGACUGACCCUGACUGUGGGCACCACCCUUCCCUGGGCUGCGGAGCACCAUCGAUCUUCUCCCUCUGCUUCCUGACUGCAGAUGACUGACAGCUGCCUUGAACACCUGCUGCCACACCUUCCCUGUCACCAUGGACUGUACCCUUGCACUGGGAGCCAGAAGAAACCCUUCCUCUCUGAAGUUGCUUGAAGCAAGACAGUUUAUCACAUCGUCAGAAAAAGAAAUGAAUAUAGCCUGGGCAAUAGGGGCUGUUCAAGGGUCCAGCAUCACCAUCCCUGUGGUGAGAAGGUGUCAAAAGCCCAGCAUUGUUGAAAACACCUGUAAUCCCAGUUCAGGAGGCUGAAACAGGAUUACCUUGAGUCAGAGGCCAGAAUGGACUACAUAGAGAGACCCGGUCAAAUAAAAUCAUAGAAUUAAAAUAAAA